CCAGCCCAGCCUAGAGAUAGAUGCCUGGUGCUCCAGAACCAGGAGAAACCACACUCAGGAAAGUGAAUGUAUGUGUACCCUUCGCCUUCCCUCCCCACAGGACAGCAGUUUGCCUGGGUCCCUGGGUCCAGGCCAGGGUGGCAUCCUGUGGAGCUACUGCCUUGAGGGCUGAACUUUCCGAGGGGCCAGGAGCGAACAGCUUCCAUGUAACCUCUACUUGACCUUCCCUGAAACACUCCAGUUCCUUGGAGAUCAGAAAGUUCUGCCUCACCACAGCAGAAGCUAAAGGGUUCCCGGACAACUCCUUGGCCAGUAGCUCCCCUGAAGCUGCCUGGGAUGGUACUCACCCCAGCGCAGCCCAGGUCCCUUCCUUUUCCAUCCUGUCUCACAGCCCAGCUGUCCAGUCUUCCCUGAAUGCUGCAAGUCUCCACUAUCUUCCUGAAGUUCAUCAUGGGUCAUCUGUACUGGAUGUGAGUGGGAGCAGUCUGACUUGGUGAAUAAGGACAGGUGUCUCCAAAGGCAUUAGACCAAGAUUACAGUUUCAAUCUAUGCACCGCUCAAAAAUUCCAAGCAGAUUCUAUUAAACAGAAACAAGUACUAUUAUUCUUACUUUGGAUCUGGGAAAAAUGAAUAUUUCAAAUGGCAUAUUCACAGGUAAUCAAUGAGUCAGAUUUUUGAUUGUUUGUUUUUCUCUUUUUGAAACAUCUCCUGCAUGCUUUGAAUUGCAAAGUCCUUUCACAAAUGCUGUCUCCUCUGACCUCAUCUUCAGAACAUUUCUGGGUAAUAGAUAUUAUUAUUUCCAUUUACCCCGGAGGAAAUCAAGACUGGCUGACUCACCCACAUCCAGCAGCUAUCACAACAGUGAACACUGCCAGCCUCCAGUGUGACAGAGGGAGAACUUAUGAGUGAAGGAAAGAAAGGUUCAGUUACCUGCAAUCAACUGCGGUCUGAAAAUAUAUAAUGGAAAACUCCAAGAAGAACCCAUCCAUGAGUUAUGAACUGUACCAUGCUGACUCCCUGGAGGAAGGGACUGACAUGAAUAAGGAGGGGAUGUGUGGCCCCAGCCUCAGGAAGCCAGAGCACAGGACCAGACUCUGAGGACUUGGUGAACACACCGGCAUCUCUGUCUCCUUCACAAGGUGCUCUCUCCCCUGCUGUGGCCCAACAGGAUGAUUGAUGGGAGAGGGUCCUGGGGGCUUGGCUGAGAGGGUGGCAGAGAAGAACGGUUAGGGGAGACCACUCCUCACCUCAAGGAGGGUCCAGGAAUAAGGGAACAGAGAGUGAAUGACACCAGAGCAACCUGUGGCCACCAGGAAAACAUCAGUGAGUGCUGAGGAAAAGUCAAGCUGUGAUUCUGAUUAGAGUUAAGUAGAAAGGAAUAAUAAUAAAUGGUUAUGUCAG